UACGUAGGGGGCAAGCGUUGUCCGGAAUUAUUGGGCGUAAAGAGCGCGUAGGCGGUCCGGUAAGUCGGUUGUGAAAGUCGGGGGCUCAACCCCCGGAUGCCGAUCGAUACUGUCGGGCUAGAGUCCGGAAGAGGCGAGUGGAAUUCCUGGUGUAGCGGUGAAAUGCGCAGAUAUCAGGAGGAACACCAGUGGCGAAGGCGGCUCACUGGUCCGGUACUGACGCUGAUGUGCGAAAGCGUGGGGAGCAAACAGG
rnacentral:rRNA from 1 species